UACGUAGGGUGCGAGCGUUGUCCGGAAUUAUUGGGCGUAAAGAGCUUGUAGGCGGUCUGUCGCGUCUGCUGUGAAAAUCCGGGGCUCAACCCCGGACUUGCAGUGGGUACGGGCAGACUAGAGUGUGGUAGGGGAGACUGGAAUUCCUGGUGUAGCGGUGAAAUGCGCAGAUAUCAGGAGGAACACCGAUGGCGAAGGCAGGUCUCUGGGCCACUACUGACGCUGAGAAGCGGAAAGCAUGGGGAGCGAACAGG
rnacentral:rRNA from 1 species